rnacentral:rRNA from 1 species
UAACGAACGCUGGCGGCAGGCUUAACACAUGCAAGUCGAACGCCCCGCAAGGGGAGUGGCAGACGGGUGAGUAACGCGUGGGAAUCUACCCAAUUCUUCGGAACAACUGAGGGAAACUUCAGCUAAUACCGGAUACGCCCUACGGGGAAAGGAUUUAUCGGAAUUGGAUGAGCCCGCGUUGGAUUAGCUAGUUGGUGAGGUAAUGGCUCACCAAGGCGACGAUCCAUAGCUGGUCUGAGAGGAUGAUCAGCCACACUGGGACUGAGACACGGCCCACGACUCCUACGGGAGGCAGCAGUGGGGAAGUAUUGGACAAUGGGCGCAAGCCUGAUCCAGCCAUGCCGCGUGAGUGAUGAAGGCC